AUUAAACGCUGGCGGCAUGCCUUACACAUGCAAGUCGAACGGUAGCGCGGGGCAACCUGGCGACGAGUGGCGAACGGGUGAGUAAAGCAUCGGAACGUGCCCUGGAAUGGGGGAUAACGUAGCGAAAGUUACGCUAAUACCGCAUAUUCUGUGAGCAGGAAAGCAGGGGAUCGCAAGACCUUGCGUUCUGGGAGCGGCCGAUGUCGGAUUAGCUAGUUGGUGGGGUAAAAGCCUACCAAGGCGACGAUCCGUAGCGGGUCUGAGAGGAUGAUCGCCACACUGGGACUGAGACACGGCCCAGACUCCUAUGGGAGGCAGCAGUGGGGAAUUUUGGACAAUGGGCGGAAGCCUGAUCCAGCCAUGCCGCGUGAGUGAGAA
rnacentral:rRNA from 1 species